rnacentral:rRNA from 1 species
CGGCCCACCAAGGCAACGAUCAGUAGGGGUUCUGAGAGGAAGGUCCCCCACAUUGGAACUGAGACACGGUCCAAACUCCUACGGGAGGCAGCAGUGAGGAAUAUUGGUCAAUGGGCGAGAGCCUGAACCAGCCAAGUAGCGUGCAGGAAGACGGCCCUAUGGGUUGUAAACUGCUUUUAUAAGGGAAUAAAGUUAGUCUCGUGAGACUUUUUGCAUGUACCUUAUGAAUAAGGACCGGCUAAUUCCGUGCCAGCAGCCGCGGUAAUACGGAAGGUCCGGGCGUUAUCCGGAUUUAUUGGGUUUAAAGGGAGCGUAGGCCGGAGAUUAAGCGUGUUGUGAAAUGUAGACGCUCAACGUCUGCACUGCAGCGCGAACUGGUUUCCUUGAGUACGCACAAAGUGGGCGGAAUUCGUGGUGUAGCGGUGAAAUGCUUAGAUAUCACGAAGAACUCCGAUUGCGAAGGCAGCUCACUGGAGCGCAACUGACGCUGAAGCUCGAAAGUGCGGGUAUCGAACAGGAUUAGAUACCCUGGUAGUCCGCACGGUAAACGAUGGAUGCCCGCUGUUGGUCUGAACAGGUCAGCGGCCAAGCGAAAGCAUUAAGCAUCCCACCUGGGGAGUAGGCCGGCAACGGUGAAACUCAAAGGAAUUGACGGGGGCCCGCACAAGCGGAGGAACAUGUGGUUUAAUUCGAUGAUACGCGAGGAACCUUACCCGGGCUUGAAUUGCAGAGGAAGGAUUUGGAGACAAUGACGCCCUUCGGGGUCUCUGUGAAGGUGCUGCAUGGUUGUCGUCAGCUCGUGCCGUGAGGUGUCGGCUUAAGUGCCAUAACGAGCGCAACCCCUCUCCUUAGUUGCCAUCAGGUUAAGCUGGGCACUCUGGGGACACUGCCACCGUAAGGUGUGAGGAAGGUGGGGAUGACGUCAAAUCAGCACGGCCCUUACGUCCGGGGCUACACACGUGUUACAAUGGCAGGUACAGAGAGACGGUUGUACGUAAGUACGAUCAAAUCCUUAAAGCCUGUCUCAGUUCGGACUGGGGUCUGCAACCCGACCCCACGAAGCUGGAUUCGCUAGUAAUCGCGCAUCAGCCAUGGCGCGGUGAAUACGUUCCCGGGCCUUGUACACACCGCCCGUCAAGCCAUGAAAGCCGGGGGCGCCUAAAGUCCGUGACCGUAAGGAGCGGCCUAGGGCGAAACUGGUAAUUGGGGCUAAGUCGUAACAAGGUA